GGGUUGUGAGGUUAAGCGACUAAGCGUACACGGUGGAUGCCCUGGCAGUCAGAGGCGAUGAAGGACGUGCUAAUCUGCGAUAAGCGCCGGUAAGGUGAUAUGAACCGUUAUAACCGGCGAUUUCCGAAUGGGGAAACCCAGUGUGAUUCGUCACACUAUCAUUAACUGAAUCCAUAGGUUAAUGAGGCGAACCGGGGGAACUGAAACAUCUAAGUACCCCGAGGAAAAGAAAUCAACCGAGAUUCCCCCAGUAGCGGCGAGCGAACGGGGAGGAGCCCAGAGCCUGAAUCAGCAUGUGUGUUAGUGGAAGCGUCUGGAAAGGCGCGCGAUACAGGGUGACAGCCCCGUACACAAAAGCGCAUGUGCUGUGAGCUCGAUGAGUAGGGCGGGACACGUGGUAUCCUGUCUGAAUAUGGGGGGACCAUCCUCCAAGGCUAAAUACUCCUGACUGACCGAUAGUGAACCAGUACCGUGAGGGAAAGGCGAAAAGAACCCCGGCGAGGGGAGUGAAAAAGAACCUGAAACCGUGUACGUACAAGCAGUGGGAGCACCCUUCGGGGUGUGACUGCGUACCUUUUGUAUAAUGGGUCAGCGACUUAUAUUCUGUAGCAAGGUUAACCGUAUAGGGGAGCCGGAGGGAAACCGAGUCUUAAUUGGGCGUUAAGUUGCAGGGUAUAGACCCGAAACCCGGUGAUCUAGCCAUGGGCAGGUUGAAGGUUGGGUAACACUAACUGGAGGACCGAACCGACUAAUGUUGAAAAAUUAGCGGAUGACCUGUGGCUGGGGGUGAAAGGCCAAUCAAACCGGGAGAUAGCUGGUUCUCCCCGAAAGCUAUUUAGGUAGCGCCUCGUGAAUUCAUCUCCGGGGGUAGAGCACUGUUUCGGCUAGGGGGCCAUCCCGGCUUACCAACCCGAUGCAAACUGCGAAUACCGGAGAAUGUUAUCACGGGAGACACACGGCGGGUGCUAACGUCCGUCGUGAAGAGGGAAACAACCCAGACCGCCAGCUAAGGUCCCAAAGUCAUGGUUAAGUGGGAAACGAUGUGGGAAGGCCCAGACAGCCAGGAUGUUGGCUUAGAAGCAGCCAUCAUUUAAAGAAAGCGUAAUAGCUCACUGGUCGAGUCGGCCUGCGCGGAAGAUGUAACGGGGCUAAACCAUGCACCGAAGCUGCGGCAGCGAACGUAUCACCCAAGACAACUUUACGGAGUUGACGAUUGACGGAGCGAAGCGACGUCAAAGCGUUCAUUAAAGUCGAGUUGGCUUAGGGAUACGUUCGUUGGGUAGGGGAGCGUUCUGUAAGCCUGUGAAGGUGUGUCGUGAGGCAUGCUGGAGGUAUCAGAAGUGCGAAUGCUGACAUAAGUAACGAUAAAGCGGGUGAAAAGCCCGCUCGCCGGAAGACCAAGGGUUCCUGUCCAACGUUAAUCGGGGCAGGGUGAGUCGACCCCUAAGGCGAGGCCGAAAGGCGUAGUCGAUGGGAAACGGGUUAAUAUUCCCGUACUUGGUGUUACUGCGAAGGGGGGACGGAGAAGGCUAUGUUGGCCGGGCGACGGUUGUCCCGGUUUAAGCGUGUAGGUGUGUGUUCCAGGUAAAUCCGGUUCACUUUAACACUGAGGCGUGACGACGAGGCACUACGGUGCUGAAGCAACAAAUGCCCUGCUUCCAGGAAAAGCCUCUAAGCAUCAGGUAACACGAAAUCGUACCCCAAACCGACACAGGUGGUCAGGUAGAGAAUACCAAGGCGCUUGAGAGAACUCGGGUGAAGGAACUAGGCAAAAUGGUGCCGUAACUUCGGGAGAAGGCACGCUGACACGUAGGUGAAGUGAUUUACUCAUGGAGCUGAAGUCAGUCGAAGAUACCAGCUGGCUGCAACUGUUUAUUAAAAACACAGCACUGUGCAAACACGAAAGUGGACGUAUACGGUGUGACGCCUGCCCGGUGCCGGAAGGUUAAUUGAUGGGGUCAGCGUAAGCGAAGCUCCUGAUCGAAGCCCCGGUAAACGGCGGCCGUAACUAUAACGGUCCUAAGGUAGCGAAAUUCCUUGUCGGGUAAGUUCCGACCUGCACGAAUGGCGUAAUGAUGGCCAGGCUGUCUCCACCCGAGACUCAGUGAAAUUGAACUCGCUGUGAAGAUGCAGUGUACCCGCGGCAAGACGGAAAGACCCCGUGAACCUUUACUAUAGCUUGACACUGAACAUUGAGCCUUGAUGUGUAGGAUAGGUGGGAGGCUUUGAAGUGUGGACGCCAGUCUGCAUGGAGCCGACCUUGAAAUACCACCCUUUAAUGUUUGAUGUUCUAACGUGGACCCGUAAUCCGGGUUGCGGACAGUGUCUGGUGGGUAGUUUGACUGGGGCGGUCUCCUCCUAAAGAGUAACGGAGGAGCACGAAGGUUGGCUAAUCCUGGUCGGACAUCAGGAGGUUAGUGCAAUGGCAUAAGCCAGCUUGACUGCGAGCGUGACGGCGCGAGCAGGUGCGAAAGCAGGUCAUAGUGAUCCGGUGGUUCUGAAUGGAAGGGCCAUCGCUCAACGGAUAAAAGGUACUCCGGGGAUAACAGGCUGAUACCGCCCAAGAGUUCAUAUCGACGGCGGUGUUUGGCACCUCGAUGUCGGCUCAUCACAUCCUGGGGCUGAAGUAGGUCCCAAGGGUAUGGCUGUUCGCCAUUUAAAGUGGUACGCGAGCUGGGUUUAGAACGUCGUGAGACAGUUCGGUCCCUAUCUGCCGUGGGCGCUGGAGAACUGAGGGGGGCUGCUCCUAGUACGAGAGGACCGGAGUGGACGCAUCACUGGUGUUCGGGUUGUCAUGCCAAUGGCACUGCCCGGUAGCUAAAUGCGGAAGAGAUAAGUGCUGAAAGCAUCUAAGCACGAAACUUGCCCCGA
rnacentral:rRNA from 2 species